rnacentral:rRNA from 1 species
GGAUCAUUACCGAGUUAUUCAACUCAUCAACCCUGUGAACUUACCUAAACGUUGCUUCGGCGGGAACAGACGGCCCCGUGAAACGGGCCGCCCCCGCCAGAGGACCCCUAACUCUGUUUCUAUAAUGUUUCUUCUGAGUAAAACAAGCAAAUAAAUUAAAACUUUCAACAACGGAUCUCUUGGCUCUGGCAUCGAUGAAGAACGCAGCGAAAUGCGAUAAGUAAUGUGAAUUGCAGAAUUCAGUGAAUCAUCGAAUCUUUGAACGCACAUUGCGCCCGCCAGUAUUCUGGCGGGCAUGCCUGUUCGAGCGUCAUUACAACCCUCAGGCCCCCGGGCCUGGCGUUGGGGAUCGGCGGAGCCCCCCGUGGGCACACGCCGUCCCCCAAAUGCAGUGGCGGUCCCGCCGCAGCUUCCAUCGCGUAGUAGCUAACACCUCGCGACUGGAGAGCGGCGCGGCCACGCCGUAAAACACCCAACUCU